rnacentral:misc_RNA from 1 species
GAUGAAGAACGUAGCGAACUGCGAUAAGUAAUGUGAAUUGCAGAAUUCAGUGAAUCAUCGAGUCUUUGAACGCACAUUGCGCCCCCUGGCAUUCCGGGGGGCAUGCCUGUCCGAGCGUCAUUGCUGCCCUUCAAGCCCGGCUUGUGUGUUGGGUCGUCGUCCCCCCCGGGGGACGGGCCCGAAAGGCAGCGGCGGCACCGCGUCCGGUCCUCGAGCGUAUGGGGCUUUGUCACCCGCUCGAUUAGGGCCGGCCGGGCGCCAGCCGGCGUCUCCAACCUUCUAUUUUACCAGGUUGACCUCGGAUCGGGUAGGGAUACCCGCUGAACUUAAGCAUAUCAAUAAGCGGAGGA